ACAUCUCAGAAACCUUGUCCCAUGCCGUGGUUGAUGCGAAGAACUACUCGAUUUUGUACAAACUGACUCUCUAUUUCAUCGGCGCAUGUUUAUUUAUAUAAGCAGGAGAAUUACUUAAUAAGCAUAAAAGUUAUUGCAUGAUGCGCUUAUUAUAAACAGUCAAUAAUAAUUAGUUAAACUAAUAGUAACUUAUUAAGAUAUGCGUUUUAAAGCAGAUAGUUGUAUAAAUAUGUAAGAAUACAUAAUUUUACAGAGAUAUUCGCAUGUGAUCGUACAACAUACUCAUUUUCUUGACAACAGAAAUUAUUCUCACGUUAAUUAUUUAUUUAAAUGUUAAUACUUCUAUAAUUUUAUCAAACUUAUUUUUUCAUAAAACCAAACUGGGAAAAAUGGUUCGGAAUAUUUUCGCAGCACACGCAAUUUCCCAGAAUAAAGUCGCGUAAAAUUACCAGUUUAAGCCGGGGGACUAAACUGCAGUAUCUAUAAAGAACAAAAAGUAUCCUAUAUUUCAAAAAACUAACCUACAGUUUUUUGUUUGUUUUCAUAAAAGAGGAGAGAAAUCUUCGAUAGACAUCCAGCCGAUUGUACGUCUGGGUAAUAUUGGAUUCCCUCCCAUAAGGGCCUUGCAGCUAAAUCUCCUCUAGCUCAGGCCGUUUUGGAACCUUUUAAGGUUCCCUUCAACUAGCUGCAAAAGAUAGAAGUCACUUUCUAUUUUAAGAACAGUGAAACGACCAGGUAAACUACAAAAACUCUUAAUCGAAAGCAUUCCAGCCACGUCUACGUAAGAAAGACAUCUAAAUUCGUGAAGAUUGGAUCUGUCGCUAACAAAAAACAUGAAAGGCAUCACAUUGUUCAAACAGGGAUGCAGAAGUUGCAAUUUUGGAACAUAUUGAGCGGGAUCCUAUACCAAGCAUCAGAAAAUUGGAAUCUACUUCAGGAAUUCUACGUAGAAGUCUUCAGAGGAUAUUCAAUUUUGGAAAUUCUUGAAAAUGUCCGCUACAUUACACAAUGAUACAUUUUAUCAAUAAGUCUCGUCCCGCCACACUAAACAGCUCCUGUGCAUGACUUUUUCGAUCGAUAUUUUCCCGAACAGUAGAUUGGUAAAAGGGGUUCCAUUAAAAGGAUGUUAUCUACAAAAUGUGGAAGAAAGAUAUUAUCAUUGUAUGGAAGUAAAUAGAUUACAGUCUAAACAUUAAAUCGAUUAAAGCAUG